rnacentral:rRNA from 1 species
CUACGGGGUGCUGCAGUGGGGAAUAUUGGACAAUGGGGGAAACCCUGAUCCAGCAAUGCCGCGUGUGUGAAGAAGGCCUGCGGGUUGUAAAGCACUUUCGGUUGGGAGGACUGCUUCUAGCACUAAUAUUGUUGGAAGUUGACGUUACCUUCAGAAGAAGCACCGGCUAACUCCGUGCCAGCAGCCGCGGUAAUACGGAGGGUGCAUGCGUUGAUCGGAAUUACUGGGCGUAAAGCGCGCGUAGGCGGCUAGAUCAGUCGGGUGUGAAAGCCCCGGGCUUAACCUGGGAACUGCAUCCGAUACUGUCUAGCUUGAGUACAGGAGAGGAGAGUGGAAUUCCACAUGUAGCGGUGAAAUGCGUAGAUAUGUGGAGGAACACCAAUGGCGAAGGCAGCUCUCUGGCCUGAUACUGACGCUGAGGUGCGAAAGCGUGGGGAGCAAACAGGAUUAGAUACCCUAGUAGUC